AUUGAACGCUGGCGGCAGGCCUAAUACAUGCAAGUCGAACGGUAACAGGGGGAUGGGCAACCAUCUCUGCUGACGAGUGGCGGACGGGUGAGUAAGGACUGGGAAACUGCCUGAUAGAGGGGGACAACAGCUGGAAACGGCUGCUAAUACCGCAUACGCCCUGAGGGGGAAAGGAGAAAUCCGCUAUCAGAUGUGCCCAGUUGGGAUUAGCUAGUAGGUGAGGUAAAGGCUCACCUAGGCGAUGAUCUCUAGCUGGUCUGAGAGGAUGAUCAGCCACAUUGGGACUGAGACACGGCCCAGACUCC
rnacentral:rRNA from 1 species